GACGCAAAGUGAAAUCGUACAAAGAAAGAAUAGACUGAGAGAAGGAAGAAGAGGAGGCAUAGAGACAUGGCACUACAGUGAAAGGAGAAGGGAGAUGAAGACCCAAAGAAGGAAGUGAGAACACUAGCAAGAACAAUGCCAGCUAAUGAUUACAUACUAACCCGAGACCCAUAAUCCCUAACCAACAACUUCUAGACUUUUUACAUGUCUGAAGUUUUAUUUUUAGUUAAAGUCAUUUGUUUCAAAGAUUUCCUCCUCCCAGAUGAAGUUUCAUGAUAAUGUAAAUACUGAUAUGAAGUUUAAUUUUAAUUUUAAAUAACACAUUUCAUUAUCUACAAGGCAGGGUCAGGUUUGGCCAGUGGCUAUAAUAAAAUAUAUAAUAAAGAAAAAGAAAAGCUAUAUAUUGUUCCAAUUUCAAGUUGCUUAUAAAGCUAAGGUAUGUGCCCCCAUCCCAAAACACAUAAAACAAUACUAGCUUGUCAUCAUAUUUAAAAUGUCCCCAGGGAUCUAAAAAUCCCACAAUAAAAUGAACUACCUAAGAACAAAAUAGAUAAAAUAGAUUUACAGUUUCUCAUGCAAAUUGGGGCCUAGUAGCUUUCCUCCAGAUGGAAUAAAAGAUCCAUGUUUACAAAGCUGGUGCUCCUGAGCAUCAUCUGUGGCCUACAGCAGUACAUCCCAAUGGUGACCUAUUGUUCACCUGGUGCUCCUGAGGAUCAUCUGUGGCCUACAGCAGUACAUCCCAAUGGUGACCUAUCGUUCACCGAUGCUAGAAACUGUUCUGCCUCAGAAUUUCCAAGAGCUCCAGCCAUGGCAUUGUGAUUACUCACUGAGUUUAAGUCUUAUUCACUACUCUUAGUCACUAUUCACAACUCACUAAAAUAUUUUGGUUAUUUUACAAUGUCCAUUUUAAAAGUUAAGGGAUGAUGAGAAAAAUUAUUGAAAAUGUCAAAUGCACAUAAAUAGUUACUCAUUAUUAAAUGAAUGGAAAUGACAUAUCCAAGAUAGACACAGGAAACAAAAGUAGCAGGAAGUAUAUUUAUAGGUUCAACGAUACAAAACCCAUUUGUCCUUGGGACUUCCUACUUUUUAUUUUGAUGUCUCAUUUGGACAUCAAACACUUGCAACACUAAGCUACAAUACCUGUUAAGGCUGAGAGAAAUCAAAGUGUCCCUUUGAAAUUCCCAUUAAUAAACUAAAAUGUUUCAUGACUUUAAAACUUUUUUUAAACAUUUAUUUAUUUCAUGUAGAUGUGUACUAUUCCAAAUACCACUCUCUUCUAUAGUUUAAAGUUACACAAUUUUCUAUCUCAAGCUAGAAGUGACUUAUAUCUUAUCUAGUUAUUGAAUCUUUGAAAUGGUCUACAGUUCUUUGUCUUUACUCAAGAAUUCUUCAUGCUUUAUUCCCUUGAUUCUUAGAAUUAUGAAAGCAGCAUUUCUAGGUUAGUAGGCAGAAAGCAGAAAAGCAAAUUGAUGGUACCAUUUUGAACUUUAAUUAAGCUUUUAUGUAAUGGGUGUCUGGAUAUACACAACUGAUAUCAAAAGGACCAUUAUCAACAUGCUUCUCCAGUAACUAAAUAGCUACAUGACUUAACAUAUUAAUAUUCUCCAGAGUAGUAUAAAUACCCAUGCAAUUUCUUCAAAAAAGCUUCAUCUAAAUUAUUUGUAAUAUUUUAAGUAGCUUUCCCUGCCAAUUCCCUCAACCACUAGAAUUCCUUUUGUAAUUUAAAUUAAAGAUGGAGGUUUAUACAUAAGGCAGAUAUGCCUUUGUACAAGUAUUUCAAAGAAAAAUACAGCAACCAUAAGUUGGAACCCAUUGCAUUUUCUCAUGUUAAAAAUAUUUCAUGCUUAUUAGGAAUCUACAGAAAACAAAUCACUAGCUUUCACCACUUAAAGCUGAAUCAGCAUAUGCUAGGAUGGUUAGAAAUUCAUACUCAUUAAAAUCAUUCCUCCAAAAAGAUUUUAUUAAUUGCUUCUCAACAAAUCCAAGUGUUUAAGUGAAGGCAAACCAAUGAAACUGUGUGAGUGGGUAAGUUAGAUACAAAGAGGCAUCGCCUCUAGAAAAAUCCACAAAGCCUAUUGAAUUUCAUCCACUUACAGUUAAAAUGUCCAGUCCAAACACAAGCAACUCCUUCAAGCUAAAUCUCCCAGGAUAUCAAUUAAUGCAUUUGCAUAACCAACUUUGGAGAGGAAGUGGAACAGAAACCAACAAAGCAAAAGCUGUAGCACUGUGCAGCAGGUGGGCGAUCACAGCUGCUGCAAGGAGGUUUAUUAAUGAUGUAAACAGCAGCAGAGAGUCAAUUAUUUACACAUGCCUGUCCUACUUAGGCUGAGAAAGUGGACACCACAGCGAAAGCUCAGUGGCUGCAAUGUGAUGGGUGUCGGUGACACAACCAUGCUAUCUCUUACUUUGGCUGUUCCUUGUUCUUAAGAUAUUAUAAAUUGUAUGCCCAUAUCCAAAUGCAUUCUGGGAACUUGACAUUGGCCCUUAAAAUUAACAAGUGAAUCAUCAUUGUUUGUUCUAAGCUGAGGACUCAUUAGAUAGAUUAACCCACAUAGCUCUUCGAAUGCCUAUGAACUCAACAAUCUUGUGUUCACUCCAUUUGAAGACACAGAGAGCAACUUUGUUGAGAUGACACACGAGGGACAUGAUCAGGAUUUUAAGCUGAACUGUUUGAUUUUUCUAAAAUUGCUGUCUUUCCCAAAUAGGUACUGGGACCUGUCCUGACAUGACUCCCAUGAUGUGUGUUGAUUUUUUUUUCUUUAAUCUAUCUCUAACUGAUCUGACUCAGACUCUAGGAAACUUUAGCCCCAUCAGCAUUUUCUUAUGGAGCACAGUAGGUAAUUUAUCAAUGUAGUUUUUGUUAGCAUCACAAUAGUGUGGGAAAAUGGAAUAUGGUGAGAAGAGAGAAGUGAUUGAGAAAGAGAGGGAGAGAAAAGAAAAAAAUAACUUGGAUAAAUUCUUUAAUGUCGAUGUAGAAAUUGUCUUCAUGUUGGUUCUAUAACAACUUAAGGUUCAUUCUGUCCACACAUAUCCCCAUUAAGCACAGUUGUAGGAGGAGGGAAGGCAUACACUAAGAUUCAUGUGGUUUUGGCCAAAGCAUGGAAAGAAAACCAAACACAAUCAACAACACUAACGUGUCACAUUUUUCUUUCUUUGAUAGAGCCGGACAUCUCUGUGAUACCUUGGCUUAUUUUAUGUAGGUGUUCUGGUCAUCUUUAAGGAAAGAACAACCCUGACGUUUUGUUUCAGAAUGGACUCACUUCAAACCCGCACAACACUGGCCACACUUAUCGCCCAGCAUCCCUAGUCACGCCAGUAAAUCUGAAGAAAUCAGCGGAUCAUUUUCAUUGACACAGGGUCAUCUGAAAAGUCCUCAAAGUACCUCUUACAUAGUGCCACCCUGGACUACAGGCUGUCUCCCCUGCAGACUCUAGGAAAAGGCACGGAGAAGCUAUCCUCAGACUCUGGCCUUGCAGCUGAACCCUGCUGGCAAAUUGCCCUCUGUCAGUAUGGCCCUCUUCAUGGGUGCCAGCAAGACUUGGCCUCAUUUUAAAAGAAAAAUAGCUCAGGCAGCUUUGUGGUGAAGUUCUGAAUGCUUAGCUGAAAUCAAUUAAGAUGACAAAGGGUGGAGGGGCUGCUUUCACAUGGUGCUGAAUAAAAUCUCUAUGUUUUUUUUUUUCUUCCUCUGAAGAACUCACUCACUUUUCUCAAAUGAAGAAAAGACAUGUAGUUUGGAAUAAGAAAGAUGAAUUGUCUUAAAGAGAACGUAUAAGGUAUUCUGUCAAGCCAGCUGACACAUGAGGGUAAUAUUUAGGUGAUGGGUUAAGGAACAGCUGGCAUAAUUAAGGCCUAGAGGUGCGCUCUGUGGUCCAGAAAAUGAGAGAGAGAGAGAGAGAGAGAGAGAGAGAGAGAGAGAGAGAGAGAGAGAGAGAGAGAGAGCACGUAGUGCAUUUAAUCAUAUGGACAUUGUGUAUUUUUCAAGGAAUGAAGCCUCCAAUGUUGCUCUUCCCAGACUGAAGUUGGUGACAGGUCUUGGAGACUGUUUUUAGUAGAGUGGGCUCUCUGCCCAGUUUUAAUCACCAUUAGGGAAAUGGGUCUCCGACCAGCAGGAUGUAUUUCACUUUCAGGAUAAGCAAGUGGAGAGCAGCCAUCCAUUUCUCAGGUGACAGCCUCAAUUCCCUGAGAUGGGAUCCGGUGCUCUGUAUUUCUUAGCAAAUGAAACGGUGCAUUUCACUGCAAUGUGUUCAUGACUUCACGCCAUUGGACUUCACCCAUGCUCACCACCACCUGCCAUGCCUUCCACUAGUCCUACUUCCGAUCUGAAACAGUGCCUCUUCUGUGUGUGUGUGCAUGCAUGCGUGUGAGCAUGCAUGCAAACAUGAACUGUGUGUAGGAAACUUGUUUUUAUUUGUCUGAUUCAGAGUCUUAGUCUGUAGCACAAACUAUCCUUGAACUUAGGGUCUCUUGUCUUGUUUUUCUGAAUGGUGGGAUUAUAGGUUUGUACCCCAAAGCCAGGCCCAAACCUGUAUUUUGAGAUGAGUAAUGGAUGUGAUGAGAUAUUCAGUCCAAAGGACAAAAAACAUUGAGAACUAUGGGAAAAUUGCUGCUCUCUCAAAGGCUAAAAGGAUCACAGUAUAUGUCAACUUCUCACCUGAUCAUUUUUCCAAGGGGAAAAUAUUUACAUUUUCCUGGAGACCAUCUAAGAAGCUUCUGGAAUACAUGGUCACAGACCUUGUUCCUGUUUCUUGAUCCUAGACAUCAUAAGGUAUGUUACACAUGAGCUGCAGUAAUCCCUUAGUGUUAAAGUGAAAGAUUCAGUAAAACAAGAAAAUGUAGAAAUACAAAAUGGAUAGUUUUUCAGAAUGAACUAAUUAAUGAAAACUAAAACUGUAGAUGGAUUCCAUUCUCAUGUGGCUGUUCCCUUUUCUCUGAGCAGUGUAGGAAAACACAUUCUGGGCCUGGUCCAUGCUAAGCAAGCCCACCACAAACUGAACUAAACUCCCUGUUGGGGACAAGCAAACAAACAAAAAUGCUGUUUAUGAAUAUAGUUAAUGUUGAUUUGACCUUUAUCUUGUUCUUAACUCUUCAACAUAGUCUCUGCUUAUCUUCUAAAGCCUCUCCUGCAUCAUGUACCCUAAGAUCACACGUGUGUUUCUCCAACAAAUACUAGUAAGUAGAUAGGAUAGUUUGUCCUAAUGUUAUAGAAUAUUGUGGCCUCAUAUUUAUCCUAUCCUAAGGUGGAAGAGAACAAACAUUUAGCCUUUUAAUUCAGAGUUGUUUCCCAUUGUCUUUAUAAAAAGAGAGAACAAAAUUUCAAUUAUAAUUUAUAUAUCUCAAAGACAACAUUUUUCAACUAUCCCUUUUGAAGAACUAUUCAGAAGGCAGUUUUCCACUCAUGGCUUGUGGUUUGCCUGUGUGUAUAAACACAUAGUAGGAUGUUAAUUUCUUUAUGUAAACUUCCAACAGUAUUACAGACUGUUCUCAACUGGUAUAUAAAUAUAAAUCAAUUCUCCAGUCUGUAGGAUGAAGAUAAAUAGAGCUAGGUACAUUCUGUGCCAUACACUUGGAAAACUGGGGAAGGAUAUGAAUGCUUUCAACUUAAUCAAUGGUCAUUUGAUAGUAAGUGAAGAGCUGUCACUUGAGAAAGUCUCUACUGAAAUUACCACCUUGACAGGGAGGAGACAAUGAGAUUAUAAUUGGGAAUAUAUACAUUUAUGCAUAUACACAUAUGCAAGCUAUAACAAGAAGUGACAAAGAGGCCAUGAGUCUGAAGGAGCAUAGGGAGAGGUAUAUGUGAAGGUCCAGAGGAAGGAAGGGGAAGGGAGAGAUGCUACAAUUAUAUUAUAAUCUCAAAAAAUGCACAAAAAUAUUCUCAAAUAAGAUUCAGAAUUCAGAUGUGUUCUUUGAAAAUUGAGAAAAUUACCUAUGUAUUUCUUCUUCCUAUUUAUAGAUUUGAGCUACAUAUAUAAACACAUAUAGACAUAAACACACAUAAACACACACAUAAUAAAUGCAUAUACAUACAAUAAACACACAUUAAUAAACAUGCACACACAUAUACAUAGGGCUAAAAUAACAAUUUUCAUGUAUUCCUUCACUGUGUAAUACAAUAUUACUUCAUAAGUAAAUUAUUUCAAACUUCAAUAGCAUACCCCUUUCUUAAAAUGUCAUAUCUUAAAAGAGUUGCUAUUUUUAUUUAUAUACAAAUUAAAUUAUAAUAAUGUAAUCCUUUUCCUUUCUCAUAGCAAUAUUUAUUUCCAAAGUGAAAUAUACUAAAUUGAAUCCUGAUCAAACUACUAUCAGAAAUGAAAUUUAGAAUACCUAUCCUAUAGACUAUAGAUUAUUUUCUAGGCUGACAGAAUAAUCAAUAGGUAAUAUUAGAGAACCUACAUCUUUACCUUCCUACAAUCCAAAGUAUAAAACAAAAACAAAAACAAAAACUACACAAAACACUUGUAAUCCUUACUUUCUGGCUAAGAAAAACAUCUUACUGACUGGUGUGUUCAGCAGUCAUUGUCUUAAGUCAUUUAACUCAAUUGGCUGCAGUGAGCCAAGGCUUACAUCAAAGCAAAGAACAUGUGCAAGACAAAACCACAGCCAAUUGUUACCAAAAUUGCUUUGUUCACCUCCUGGCUGCUCUCCUGUAUUUCCAACUCCCCUGGGUUAGCCACUAGCUGCUACAGAGAGCAUCUGAGGUAAUGAACGCUGUUUUUAAAGCUUGCCUCCUCCUCUGAAGUAUUCAAUGUCAGGAAACACCCUGAAUCAGGAUUGCAGAAUGUGAGCAAGUCUCUGGGCACAGACUCACCUGGUUAAGACAAACAGAAGUGGAUCUCUUCAAACUGAAGGCAGCUUGCUGGAAAUAUUUUUUUCAUGAGGAAAUCACAGGAGAAGAUAUGAGACUGCUUUUUGUGAAAUACACACUGGAAAAUACAGUGUAAACGUGCAGGCACUCACUGUUUUACAAGGGGUGGUUAAAUGAUGAAUAAUAAGUUCAGUUUUAUUCCCUGACUUGUUCCAAUUGAUAAUUACAUUCUUCAUAUGUAAAACCUUUAUUAAAGAUUUCACAAAUUGGUCUUAAGAGUACUUCAGAUGGCUCAUUAAGAAUUCUUAUACUUUUUAAGGUUAUAGACCAAAAGGAGCUGGAGAGAUGGCUCAGUGGGUAAGAGUGUUGGCUGCUCCUCCAGAGAACCCAGGUUCAAUUUUUAGCCCCCAGUUCUCAGCUCACAACUUGUCUGUUGCAUCAUGAAUUUAUAGUAUUCCUUUCUCUUUUGCUACCUUGAUGAAGAAUUUCAUUUGCAUGAACUUUUUAGGACUCUUUUAAAGUCAGAAAAUGCUGAGAGGCCAGAUUUACUUUAUUGUUAAAAUAUCUCCUUGCCUUAACGUUUUUUAAAAACACUUUUAGCAUUUAAUGAAACCACAAAAUAAUACCAGGGUUCUUUUGGGCAAGUAUGCUUAUAAUUUUAUAGAAAUCACUCUUAAUUUCCCGUUAUUACACUCCAUAUUAAUAUAUAAACAUCCCAGUAUUACUUGUCAGCACACACAGCUUCAAAUGUUAAUGUAAAGACUGCUGUUGAGUGAUGGAUCCAAGAGCAGUGCUGCCUCAAUUUAUAUAUCUGUGGUCCAUAGCUUAGAACUAUGUAUACUUGGCCACUUUGCCAAUAAGGAUGAGAAAAUGACAUUACCAAGCUAAAUGAUUGAAUAUAAGUUUGCAUACAAUGCUUGCCUUGACAUUUUAAAAGUAAAUGAACCCUUCAUUCACAAAGGGUAAAAGACAUUCUUAAAUAUUAACAUACAUCAAAUAAAGAGGCAUGGUCCUAUUGUUGAAUAUCACUCCCUUGUUUUUUAUUAAAUGUGGAAAUCAAGGAUAUUGUUCUUAAAAUAUUUAGUAAAUCAUCAUGAUAUGAUAACCCUCAAAAGACAAUUUAUCAUAAAUGUAUAAUAAUUAGUAGUGAAAACAUUUGCAUUUAUUAUCUGACCAAACAACAUACAAGGAUUACUUCCUGUCCAGGCAUUCCUCAGUACUUUCAUUCUUUUGGAAAAUACAGAACUACUUGAAUGGACUAGAGAAAAAAAGCCUGGUGGCUUUAGUAGUGUACACUUGUAGAACUGAGUUGUCUUAGUGUGGGGAAACAUAGAGUAUAGCAUUUUUAUAACCCCAGUUUGAACCCUGGAUAACCAUAGGGCUGGGGCGUAAUACAUGGAGCUAUAGAGAAAUGGACUGUCCUAGAAGAGUAAGUAUACUGUGUAGGUGAAUUAUUGAAGAAAGAGAUUGUUUCUGAGUUUCUUAGUAGGAGAGAAAGUCUGCAAAGAAAAACUGUAUGUGUAAUUACAGGAUAGCACAAGGAAACCGUUAAAGUAAAACACUAAUAACAUGCCUGACUGGAUAAGCACACACAAGAACUUGCCAUAUGUGAGGCUGCUCAUCCCUCCUUUUAAAAGCGGUGCCAGGGGGCAUUGCUCAUCUCCAUGACAAGCUGUUUCCACUGACUGCCUCUUCCUGCACAGCGUUUGCUGAGCCCAGAGCAUUGUUCAAAUGUUCACUUCUCUCAAUCACAUGUGUUUAAAUUCAAGCAAGACAUACUAAGUUGGAACGUGGAAGAUUUGCUAUGUUAAAAUAAUGUAUGGAUGGCUAAGGUCUGAGAGCAAAUGUGGGUUUGGUGCAGCAAUAAAGUUAGCAGGUGGCUGCUGAGAUUGGAGACCCUCAAUAAAACGGAAACCUAUGAUUUCCGUGUUUAUCAGGAAUUGGUACAUCCAUGAUAGUGUUUUCACUUCCCAGUCACUAUGUUCCAGGCCUGGGGGUAGGGGGCCGUGGGUGGAGAUCUGUCAUUUUCAUAUUCAAGUUUUAGUGUGUGUGUGUGUGUGUGUGUGUGUGUGUGUGUGUGUGUAUCUGUGUGUGUAAGAGAGUGAACAAGAGAGCAAGAGAGAGAGAGAGAGAGAGAGAGGGGUUAAUUUUACAAUAAGACUCUGGAAGCAGGAGCUAUGCUUUACUUAGGGAAAUAUCAACCUGAAUGGCUGAGAACUGGGGCACUGAAAAACAACGUGUGCAUGCAUGUGUGUAUGUCUGUAGUAGAUAGAGACAGAGAGACAAGGAGAGACAUAAACAGAGAAAGGGAAUCAAAGAGAGAGAGAGGCACAAAGAUAUUGAGAUACUGAGACACAAAGAUACAGAACAAAGAUGGUGAAUGACUGUAAAGAGCUUGCCACAUGGAAAUUUGAGAAAGGAUAAGGUGUGGCUGACUAUGAUAUCACUAUUUCUUCUCUUCCUAGAGGACGGAGAAGAAAAGCAAGUAAAGACACUUAAUCAGCAGCUAGGAAAGGGAAGAGGAGGAGGGAGGGAGAAAGGAAAAGAAAAAUGCACAUAUUUCCCUCAAAGUGGUAAAUAAAAAUUCUAAAUCUUGACUGUUUGGGAGAAUUAAAGACAACAAGGGUCAAUGGAAUAUAAUGAGCAAGCAUGGUAUCAACCUUCUCGACUCAGAAUCAGUAUCUGAUGGGAAAGAAUAAAAUACCCGGUGGGUUAAGGAAAGAGCUCAGGCAAAUGCGUAAAAACUUCAGAUAAAGGUUGAUACUAAGCAGAAGUAUCCAGCAAUGAAAGAAAUGUGGAGCUCUAAAUCAAAAUGUAAUUAUUGUCAUGCAAGAAUUAAAAUAAGGGCCCAAAAAAACCUCUGGUCAUAAAUUUGUUUAAAGUAACUACAAGUGAGGAAUUGAACGAUACAAUUUCCAGGCUCUCUUUUAACUCUAAUUUUUAUUGUGAAGAUUCCAUGACCCAGUUCAGCCCAGAACUCUUGGUGUGGUCCUGAUAGUAUCAUUUUGGAUGCUACCCUUAAGCCUGACGGGGCAGAACAACAGAGAAGUGCUCUUACAUACUGGCUGCCGCAGGCAGUGGAAUGGGACUUGGCUACCCCAUGCCUGUCUCCAGUUUCCUCAUCUAGUAAGUGAGGGUAAGAUGAUCAAAGGCAACCACACAUUUUAAUUAGAAGCAAUCUGUAAAACUCUUUGCCAAAGGUAACAUAUUAUUAUCUGUUGGAACAGUUGUCAAAACACAGGAAUCGUGGGACCUAUGAGAUUAAAGAGCUGAAGGUACAGACUCGAGAGCAACUGAAUCUAAACUAAGGCUUUGCUCACUUAGAAAGCACUAGAUUGAACAACAACAACAAAGUUCCAUGAGACUUUUCAGCUUUAUUAAAAUCUUAAAAUUAGAUAUCCUAAUAAGGCUGGCUCCAAUAAAAACAAACAAACAAACAAACAAACAAAACAAAAAAUAGCAAAACAAACAAAAAAACUCUUCAAAGGGAAUGGAUUCUCCAUGCACUGAGAACCUCGCCCUUCAUGAGGCAUUGACCCCUAUAAUGUACAAAGAAAAUGAAAACACACACAAACACACACACACACGCACACACACACACACACACACACCCCUCAUCUUCUAAUACAGUUAGCAUUGAUUAGACAUUCAUCACUCAUCUAAAUAGCUGGGCAGAAAAUUGAACAAUUUCACAAAGAGAAGAAAAGCCAAUUGCUAAACUGUAGUUUGUACACACCCCGCAGAUCUAUUUCUCUAAACCACAAUCCUGUAGAAAGUCCUAAUUCGCAGAAGGGAACUAAAUCACAGUGAGGUAAAUUAACUUGCGUAGGGCCUACUUUUCUUCUUGGGACAUUAUGGGAGAUGGCUGGUGUAGAGACAUGUUCUGUGUGGCUUAGAGUAAGAAUACUUAGGGUGUUAUUAAUGAAGGAUACUUUAUAAGAAGCCAAUUGGAGAGUCCCAUUCCCUCAAGUGGCAAAAUGGGCAACAGACACAAUUACAACCCAGCAUUACUUUGAAAUGAGACAAAACCUAUAAUCUUAUAUUUUUUAGAAUAAAAAGCCCCCACCCCACCCCCUGAAGCAUUACAGGGCCCUUUGCUGGCUAGAGCCUAUUCAGUUUGAUGGUAUCUGGAGUCAUCCACACAAUGUUAGCUUUGGGUAAUUGGGCAAGGAAUUAACUAAGUGCCAGCACUUGUUUCUUUGAACUUUUAGUCCAUCAGUCUUCACUGGCCUGAGCGCGCAUAAAGACUGGACUUGGGCUUUGGAAGAGACUUGGCUUUGCCAUCACCCAUCAUCCAUCACCUUGUUCUGACAUCAAAGCUAAAUCACCAAGAUGCCCAUACUUUAUAAAUCACACCUCUGGGAAUCAUCACCAAACAAAACUUACAUGUGCCUCAGAUCCUGAGGCAUGUGCCAGAUAAGCUAUUGUUAAGACCUAUGUGGAAGCCAUGGAUUAUGGUAUUGAGAACACAUAUGAAGAACUGAAAAAUAAAUGCCAAGAGGUUAUAUCCUGGAGCGGAAAAAAGUAUUACUGCUCCCUGUAGUAAGGGAGAUAUUUUUAAAUGGAAAGAAUUUCAAACUCCAACUUUGUGUUUCAACAUAUGAUCAUUCUCUGUAGUCAUGCAAUGGAGUCUCUUUGAAAAGAGUCCGAAGCUUGUGAGUCCUUCUCUUAGUGAGGCUGGGGUUACAGAAGCUGUCUUAUGUGAAAUCAUUUGACUUUCAAUCUGAGGGGACACUCUUAGCAGCAAAUGAUGGAUUAUUCAUCCCUGUGACAGAGAACUCAUCUGAAUUGUAAUUCAAUUGUAAAUGUACUUUGACUGACUUGGUAUUUCAUUCAUUUCUGGUUUUGGCAGAUUUAAUUCUGGAAUAAUAUAGGUUUUCUCAAAACAAAACAAAACAAAGCAAAACAAAAUACCCUUUAACUGGCUUCACAGUUCUGGGGUGGAACUCUUGCCUAGCAUUCUGGAGAUCCUGGAUAUACGUGUCAGUGUCAUAUAUCAAUACAUAUAGAAAAUGGAACAACAGAAAACAAAAACAAAAACAAAAACAAAACAAAACAAAAAGAACCUCAGCUCAAGAAAAUAGAGCCAUUAUAAGUCCAUGCCCCUCUCCAUGCCUGAAUCCUAACUGUAGUUAAAGAAAAUAAAAGACAAAAUAACUUCAGAUUUUAAAAUACAAGCAAGUUUUACUUAUGCCGUAAAUACUUAUUUUAAAAUGCUAUCAAUUGUCCCUAAAUAUAAAACCAUGCUUUCUAACCUUUAUACAAACCAAUAUUAAUUGCCUUGGCUUUUUUUUUAUAAAAGAGCCAUCUGUAGAAAUUUUUAUGUAUAUGUAUGUGUACAUACAUGUAUGUGAGUGAACGUCACAUGUGUUUGGGUGCUGCCAAGGUCAGAAGAAGCAUCCGAUCUCCUGGAGCUGGAGUAAGAGUGGUUUUGAGCCUCGUGUUAAGUGGAUGCUAAGAACUGAACUCAGACCCUCCAAAGAGCAGAGCAAGCUUAACCUCAGAGCCAGCUCCACAGCCUCAGCUUUCCACUGUGAGUGUGUUAAUGACCUUAGCACCACUGAUGGAGUAGGAAGGAGCUGAUGUAGACUGGGAUAAAUCCACUAAUCCUAGAAAUAACCCAAGGUGCACAAGUUAGAAACCAUGAGUGAUAUCUGUUUUCCAGUCUUCCCUUUCAGGAAAACUGAAACACUGUCUCCUUCAGGCCCUUCCUAAUUCUCCCUGUCUUAUUAUUAUUUUAAUAUUGAAUAAAUUUAUAAAAUUGAAUGGAGAGAUGCUUGCCACACUAACCCAAAGGUAGAAGAAUACAGAGUUAUGAUUUCCUUGUGAAAUAUCAUUUAUUUCAAACAAAACACCUGCGCCUUUCUGUCUAGGAAGGAAAAGAGUAAAAUUGAAGCAAGUGAACAAUGAACAAGCGACCCUAUCUUAACAAUGUGCCGGGAGUCUUAGUAAACAUCACUGGAGAAUUUCAGCCAUCCAUAUAAGUAGGAAUGACAUUAGACUAGAGUCUUAAAUGUCUUCCUUUCACUGUAGACAGAUCUUUUAAUGUACAUAUACACAUACAUACAUAUGUAUGUAUGUGUUUGUAUGUAUGUAUGUAUGCUUAUUAGUCACUCCUGGACUUGGGUUUGAUGAUCUGUCACAUUCUUCAUGGUGAGACAUGCCAGAGGAAGACAUGUUUGUCAGAGCCCACAUAAAUCAUUCAAAACCUAGAUGCUGAGAGCAAGUUCAAAAGCAAGCAAUCCUGACAUCAGUGAUUUCAUUCACUACACCAAAUCUAUUAUCUCUAAUUUGAUUCCAUCAAAUAAUGGUAUUUUACCAACAAUGACACCUUCAAUAAAGAGACGCUAACAAAGGUAAGGAAAUGGGAAGAGACAGCUGCUACAGAGUACUGCAAUUACAUCCUUAGAACACGAAAUGCCAUUCUCUGAUUCUGCUGAUCCUGGGCAAUUCAGCUUGUAUGAUGCCAGCUUCACUGGGGGUAAAAGUGGCCAUUAGUUUUUAAUGCAUGCAUUAUAAAGUUUUUUAUUUAAAAUGUAUUCUAGUUAUAUAUCAUUGUAAUGUAUUGAAAUUAAAAUUAAGGACUAGAUAGUCUAUUUUACUUUCAUUUUUUAAAAUCCAAAAGAAAGUAAUAGGUUAAAAAUGGCUUUCUCCCUAGGGAGGGACGAGAAAAACAAGAAAAAACAUUCUCACGCAUCCAGAGGCCACUCAAGUCAGACUUUAUGUAGACUGGGACCAGAAAGCACUAAGAAGAAACUAUUUUGAAAAUGAUGGUUUUCACUUUACAGUAAAAAGUUAAGAACUAUUUCAAUAUUUUGUUGUGAAACCAAGUAUGUGAGAAUUAACGUGACUGGACAGAUGACAUUUGUAAAGACAUUAGCUGUGGAAUCCUGGAAACCAGGUUCAAACUGCU